rnacentral:rRNA from 1 species
CUACCCUUGACAUGUCUGGAAUGGUGCAGAGAUGUGCCAGUGCCCGAAAGGGAGCCAGAACACAGGUGCUGCAUGGCUGUCGUCAGCUCGUGUCGUGAGAUGUUGGGUUAAGUCCCGCAACGAGCGCAACCCUUGCCAUUAGUUGCUACGAAAGGGCACUCUAAUGGGACUGCCGGUGACAAACCGGAGGAAGGUGGGGAUGACGUCAAGUCCUCAUGGCCCUUAUGGGUAGGGCUACACACGUCAUACAAUGGCUGGUACAGAGGGUUGCCAACCCGCGAGGGGGAGCUAAUCCCAUAAAACCAGUCGUAGUCCGGAUCGUAGUCUGCAACUCGACUGCGUGAAGUCGGAAUCGCUAGUAAUCGCGGAUCAGCAUGUCGCGGUGAAUACGUUCCC